CGAACCUGGAUCUGUAGGGCCUUAGACCGCCCCACCACAUUGUUGCCUGGCUGGGAUUGUUUGGUGCUAUUUUGGUGUGGUGAGAGCUGAGUCAUUUUGGCAUAGCUGACAGACAUGGGGACGGUCUCUCAGCUGCCAAGCCAACCAGGCGGUGGCAGCGUUCUCUUCUCACUCCCAGAGUAAGAGGAGAGAGAGAGAGCCUGCUGACCUGCUGGGUUUGGGCUUUUUGCUUGCUUUCUUUAUCUGGUUUUUUAUCCGUUGGUCCCACUGCAUCGAGCAAGCUAAAUGAAGUUCAUCUUAAUUAUCUGAAAGACAACAAAUCCUGUUUUGACUUGGGUUUGUGCACAUUUCAGGGUGAGGUCUGCUCAGGUCUGAUUCUGUAUGCUGUUUAUGGACAACGUUUCUACCCCUGAUAAGGUCUUUGGGAAGUCACAGGGAGCAUAUCUGGGGCUCUGCUGCUGAGCUAUUCAGCCUACUGUACUCCUCUUAUACUUAGACAGAGAUCUGCAGCCAGCCCGGGCUCGCUCGCUCAGCCCACUAACAGGCUGCUAUGGGUAUGGGCUUUGGAUCUACCUGCCAUUGUCAUCAGGGACUCGGUUCUGGAUUACUUCUCUUGUCAUACUGAUCCGCUGAUCUGACCAUUUGCUGUAGAAUGGGACCUUCAAACCACAAGACUUCACUUAAGAGGCUGAGUUAGCUGUGCUGUCUUUGGAUGGACCCUCAUCUUAUUGGCUACCCCUUAUUGGCUACCCGAAUGGGUGUGGUCGUAGUGGAGCAAACUGAUGAGAGCGACCAAUGGUAUGAAGACUUCCAGUGCUGGCUCUCCUCAGGUGAGAAGGGCCCCCAGGCCAGCCCCGUCGCCCCCCAGCCCAGCCCUGUGACCCCCCAGCCCAGCCCUGUGACCCCCCACCACAACCCUGUGACCCCCCACCACAACCCUGUGACCCCCCACCACAGCCCUGUGACCCCCCA